UACGUAGGGGGCAAGCGUUGUCCGGAAUCAUUGGGCGUAAAGCGCGCGUAGGCGGCCCGGUAAGUCCGCUCUGAAAGUCCAGGGCUUAACCCUGGAAAGCGGGUGGAUACUGCCGGGCUUGAAUCCGGAAGAGGCGAGUGGAAUUCCUGGUGUAGCGGUGGAAUGCGCAGAUAUCAGGAGGAACACCAAUAGCGAAGGCAGCUCGCUGGGACGGUAUUGACGCUAAGGCGGCGAAAGCGUGGGGAGCAAACAGG
rnacentral:rRNA from 1 species